GACGAAGGUGGCAAGCGUUAUUCGGAUUUACUGGGCAUAAAGCGCGCGUAGGCGGCUUGGCAAGUCGGGGGUGAAAGCCCGCAGCUCAACUGCGGAACUGCCUUCGAUACUGCCGGGCUUGAGGGCGGGAGGGGUGAUUGGAACUCCAGGUGUAGCGGUGAAAUGCGUAGAUAUCAGGAAGAACACCAGCGGCGAAGGCGGCACUCUGGGCCGGAACUGACGCUGAGGAGCGAAAGCGUGGGUAGCAAACAGG
rnacentral:rRNA from 1 species